rnacentral:rRNA from 1 species
UACGGAGGGUGCAAGCGUUGCUCGGAAUUAUUGGGCGUAAAGGGUAGGUAGGUGGUCUCAUUUGUCUGGGGUGAAAGCCUUGAGCUUAACUCAAGAAGUGCCCCAGAAACGGUGAGACUAGAGUUCUGGAGAGGGUCGUGGAAUUCCCGGUGUAGCGGUGAAAUGCGUAGAGAUCGGCAGGAACACCCGGGGGGAAGCCGGUCGACUGGGCAUCUACUGACGCUGAGGUGCGAGAGCGUGGGGAGCGAACAGG